GGGCUCCAGCCUCUCCGGCGGCGGCGUCGAGGUUUCCCCGGAGGGAGCGGGGCCGCGCGGGGAAGAUCAGUUUGGAACUCCACAGUCCUAGUGACUGCAAUUGCUUAGGCAAGGAAAAUGAGCUCUGAAGAUGUUUGGAAAAGGGAUGAUUCUGAAGAAGAAGAAGAAGAGUAUGUUUCCAGUGAGUCAGAAGAACAAUCUGAACCAGAAUUGGAACCAGAGGAUCCUGAAGAUCCUAUUUAUGCCACAGCUCCAACAGUUAAUAUUCGGGAUGAAGGUUCCAUUGACGUGCACACAUGUCCUGCCUUUCAGUGCCUUGAUGAGGUAGUGUACUCUUAGUUUCCUUUAUGUCAGCAUGAUAGAUACUAUUUUCAGUUGAAUUGCCUCUGUAGGAAAUUAAAAACAAAGCAACUUUUAAGUACCUAUUGUGAAAAUAGCAUUGAUCCAUCACAACAGCAACUGAAAACAAGAUACAGGAAACCAUCUUGUCAAAAAGCAUGCAAACUGAAAUAAAACAAAUGAAAAACUCUGCACUGUUAUCCAAGCACACCACUUUGCCUUAUUGGGGUAAUGUUCUUGACUUUGGUGGAAUGUUCAUUAUCUCGUUUCCACAAAUAUGUUAAACAGAAUUCCUAAGAGUCCCUUUCAAGGCUUUGCAUAAGAAACAGCAAGGCAUAGAAUAUGUGUCAAAUGUAAACUGUUACUUUGCAGAGCUGACACGAUUGCUCUUUAUAGUGAUCUGUUCCAGGGGUAAUCAGCUUGGUGCCUUUGAAAUACAGUGAUACCUCGGGUUACAUACGCUUCAGGUUACAUACGCUUCAGGUUACACACUCCGCUAACCCAGAAAUAGUGCUUCAGGUUAAGAACGUUGCUUCAGGAUAAGAGCAGAAAUUGUGCUCCGGCGGCGCGGCAGCAGCAGGAGGCCCCAUUAGCUAAAGCGGUGCUUCAGGUUAAGAACAGUUUCAGGUUAAGAACGGACCUCCAGAACGAAUUAAGUACUUAACCCGAGGUACCACUGUAUUUCUGGACUACAGUUCCCAUAAUUCCUGGCCAUUGUCCAUGCUGGCUGGGGCUGAUGGGAGUUGUAGCUCAACAACUUCUGGAGGGUGCCAUGUUGGCUGCCCCUGGGCCACUCAAAGGAGACGCUGUUGACAUAACUUUGGAAAAGAGAUGUGUGGUGGGGUGAAAUGAAGUUUUUGUGCAGCAGAAAGACCAUACUAACAAGUCUUAUUCCCUCACUGUUGUUUUGGCUGCUGCUUUCCUUAAGAUACGGGAUAAAUCUCUUUAAGGAUUGGGCAAUAAUAUACACAAACAUGCCAAUAUCAAGAAUAAUUGUCAAAUAAUUGCCAUUGUUUUGGCAGCUAUCCAGCAGUAUGAAGUACGCAUUAAAAGUUUGCUUGGUGACUUUAAUUUGUAAAAUUAUCUGUUUUGUCAUAAAAAGAGUUUUCCGAAGGGGGAACGAGAACAGACUUAGGAGAGCAUGGCAAGUUCAAACUGCAUUGGGCAAUUAAAAAACAUAUACCCCUGUUUUCUUCAGCACCUUUUCAGAUAUUUCCCCUCUGUUUUUCCUCUGGAUUUGGUCUUUAGUUUUGUCUUACAGGAAACAGUGAAGUAAAAUUAGUAUGUUCUUAAAUUCUUUUUGUUUAUAAAAUUUACAAAGCAUUUUCUGUUCAAACACACCAAGGCCUAGCCAAAGAAGAAAAUAGUUUCCUAACACUCUUGAGAAAGAGUUGAAACAAAACUUUCUCUGGAUUGCACUAAGAAUGGCACAAAACUAAAACACGAGAGAGUAUAAUAUAAAACCCUGUUGGCUUCCAUUGCACAGAAGCCAACUUAAAUCAAAACUAGCAAGGUGCAGACACAAAUGUAAAGCACUCUGUGUUGCAAACUAAACCGUAGUGUUGGAACAAGCGCCCAAAGACCUGGGCUUAUGAUUGGCUCUGUUCCUAAGACACAGUGGGAAAUUUCAGCCAUGCCAACAUUCUCAAAUAUUCAUAUAUCAAGUCAGGUACAUAUGCCACUGGCUUUGUAAUACAGUGGUGUCUCGCAGGACGAAAAGAAUCCGUUCCGCGAUUCUCUUCGUCUUGCGGUUUUUUCGUCUUGCGAAGCAAGCCCAUUAGCGGAUUUGCGCUCUUAGCGGGCUUAGCGGAUCAGCUGAUAAGCGGCUUAGCGGAUCAGCUGAUAAGCGGCUUAGCGAUCAGCUGUUUAGCGGCUUAGCGGAUCAGCUGUUAAGCGGCUUAGCGGAUCAGCUGAUAAGCGGCUUAGCGGCUUGGGAAAAAGGGGGGGGAGGGAAAAAACCCUGCAGGAACUCGCAAGACAUUUUCGUCUUGCGAAGCAAGCCCAUAGGAAAUUCGUUUUGCGAAGCACCUCCAAAACGGAAAACCCUUUCGUCUAGCGGGUUUUCCGUCUUGCGAGGCAUUCGUCUUGCGGGGCACCACUGUAAGAUCAUUCUAUAACACAG
ensembl:lncRNA